UACGAAGGGGGCUAGCGUUGCUCGGAAUCACUGGGCGUAAAGCGCACGUAGGCGGAUUGCUAAGUCAGGGGUGAAAUCCUGGAGCUCAACUCCAGAACUGCCUUUGAUACUGGCGACCUUGAGUCCGGGAGAGGUGAGUGGAACUGCGAGUGUAGAGGUGAAAUUCGUAGAUAUUCGCAAGAACACCAGUGGCGAAGGCGGCUCACUGGCCCGGUACUGACGCUGAGGUGCGAAAAGCGUGGGGAGCAAACAGGG
rnacentral:rRNA from 1 species